rnacentral:lncRNA from 1 species
AUCGGAUGUCGCUCGUUUUGAAUUGAGUUCAGUUUGACGGUCAGCUGGAAUUUGAAGCCUUAGAGAUCGCGUGUUCAAAGUUCAAUGCUGAAAAUUAAAUAAAGCCGUCAAAACAUUUCGUACAAUGACAAUGACAAAACGCCAUGCAGAGCUACCGCCACCACCCACUAACCAUCAGCUCCACAUUAUUUGAUUUGCAGCCAGAGGGAAGUCGGAAAAUGGGACUGGUUCGACCUUAAAUUGUUGCUUGGCAGCCAACUAAAGACCUCGGCCUGCAGACAUACUCAGGCUCAGACCUUUUGCUAAAUAUUUUGGAGGUCAAAAUUGAUAGUUGACCUGAAACUGGAUGGAGCAAG